ACAGCUACCGGCAGCAUUUUACAUGAUACCAGUAGCGAACUCAAAGCACUACAAUGAGCGCCUUUGACAGCAGCAGCACAGUGACCAUGAAGACAAGAACCACAACCAGGAAUGAAGCUUGUCAGAAAGAAGAAGAAAGAACAUCUGUACUCGUACCUUAAAUCGAUGCAGUGGAACUUUGUCCAAGUACAAUGCUGUUCUGGAUCAUAAUAGGAGCAGACGAUAUCAGGAAACUUUCUUUAGAUGAACUCCCAGGUUCAGUGGAUGAACUCCAUGCAAUAAUAAAAGACAAGCUUCAGCUCAAGGAAAAUUUCAAAUUACAGUAUGCAGUUCCUGAUUUUAUGAAUUAACUUUAUAAUUUGACAAGCCUAGCAGAUCUACCAGCAGAGAAGGCAACGCUUAAAGUAAUUUGGCAUUUAUUCACAGAUGAUUGGGAUGUGUCAGAUUUUACCUUAGACACAGAAAGUCUAUCUUCCUCUCAGUCAUUAGAUUCUGGGCCCUCACCCUCACAGGUGCUAAACAAGUGGGUGGAGCACUGGCCAGCAACAUUCACGAUACCAACUUUCUCUUAUGUUUUAGUAAUUAGUGCUAAACUUUUUGUCAUUGGUUUUAUUUAAUAGCUAAAACAGCACAUUUUGCACUGGAGCAAAAACCUUAAGUUGUCCUGUAUGUGACUGACAAGCGGAAUAAACAUAUUCUGACUGUUGUUUAUGUUCAUAAACUGC